rnacentral:antisense_RNA from 2 species
UGUAGCGGUAGGGCGAAAGGGGGACGCCUUCGGGCGUGCUGAUUCUUAGGUUCAGUCUGUCAACCCUCUUUCUCCCUGCCACCAUA